GCCGUUUUUAACCAUUCAAAUGCCAAGUCUUCAUGGUCCCUCCUUAGUCGAGAAUGAUUAAAAGCUGUCAUGAAGGUCCCCAUGUAGAUUUCUUGUAUUGUUGGUAAUUGUUAUGGGGGUUAAAAAUCAUAUGAUGUGGAUUAUUUUUCAUCGACACUGUCAAAUUCAGAACCCAUUACCGGUAUGGCUGAUUUGCAGCAACAACAAAACGAUUCGUACGGGUUAUGUAAACGGUUAAAGAGAUUUGUAAAGCAAAUGUUGACAAAUGAAAAGGUUUUUAAUUACUUUAUCUGGCAAAUUGAUGCUGUGCAACAUGCAUCUUUCGAG
rnacentral:lncRNA from 1 species